rnacentral:lncRNA from 1 species
ACGUUCUUGAGCGUUCAUAGCUCGUUUUCUUCGUUAUAAGUCAAAAUUCAACCGUUCUUGAGUCCAUGACUCUUGAAUAUGUUAUACUACGCUAUGCCAUCAAAAACUAGGGUUUCUGAACUAAACGACAAGUUUUGACUACUAAUCCAAAAUUAUACGAUUUCAACGUUUAACGUCUAAUUUCGUAAAAUUCGCCAUAACUUCGUUACUCAUGUUUUAUAUGCCAAAUCAAAUGGAACCACUCCAUUGAUUCAUUGUCUAUAUCCUAACCAAGCAAUAUUCACAUACCCUAUAAAUGAUGGUUUUCAAUUUGUCCAUCAACAACCAAAUCAAUGUUCAAUGGUUUCUUUGGUUUAAACUUACUUAAACACUUGAGAUUUCUACUUAAACAUGGCUUGUAAAUAUUUAAUUCACUAUUAGCCAUCCUUAUUCCUCCGGAAGAGACAUGCUCCACCAAUUUAUGAUUCUCUACGAAAACUAAAUUUAAACGAAUCGAAAACUAAGGUUUUACGAGUUAUUACCUUUACGUUCUCCGCGUUCUUGCUAAAAACUCUUAUGAUUUGCUUCAAGCUCACUUGAUUACUUGUUUCUAGCUCUUUUAUCUCUCUCAAAUAUGUUUGUUAAAGUUUGUAAAGUAACAAAUGACCAAGCUAAGCUUCCUUUUAUAAGAAAAUCUAUUGGAGGGCAUUUUAUCCUUUUGGUAAUCUCCUCACUAUUCACACCUCCACAAAAACUUAACCACCAAGUAAACACUUUACA